rnacentral:rRNA from 1 species
UACGUAGGGUGCUAGCGUUAUCCGGAUUUACUGGGCGUAAAGGGUGCGUAGGUGGUCUUUCAAGUCGGUGGUUAAAGGCUACGGCUCAACCGUAUUAAGCCGCCGAAACUGGGGAACUUGAGUGCAGAAGAGGAGAGUGGAAUUCCAUGUGUAGCGGUGAAAUGCGUAGAUAUUGAGAAGAACACCAGUAGCGAAGGCGGCUUUCUGGACUGUAACUGACACUGAGGCACGAAAGCGUGGGUAGCAAACAGG